CCUACGGGAGGCAGCAGUGAGGAAUAUUGGUCAAUGGACGAGAGUCUGAACCAGCCAAGUAGCGUGAAGGAUGACUGCCCUAUGGGUUGUAAACUUCUUUUAUAUGGGAAUAAAAUGUUCCACGUGUGGGAUUUUGUAUGUACCAUAUGAAUAAGGAUCGGCUAACUCCGUGCCAGCAGCCGCGGUAAUACGGAGGAUCCGAGCGUUAUCCGGAUGUAUUGGGUUGAAAGGGAGCGUAGGUGGAUUGUUAAGUCAGUUGUGAAAGUUUGCGGCUCAACCGUAACAUUGCAGUUGAAACUGGCAGUCUUGAGUACAGUAGAGGUGGGCGGAAUUCGUGGUGUAGCGGUGAAAUGCUUAGAUAUCACGAAGAACUCCGAUUGCGAAGGCAGCUCACUGGUCUGUAACUGACACUGAGGCUCGAAAGUGUGGGUAUCAAACAGGAUUAGAUACCCUAGUAGUC
rnacentral:rRNA from 1 species